GCGCACGGCGCUGCCGGGGCGGGGCUCGUCCCGGUGCCGGUGCCGGUGCCGGGCUCCUCCCGGUUGCGGGCGCUGUGGCCGUGCCUGCGGGGCCUGCUGGGGCGCGGCGCCGGGCGAGCCAUGGCUGCAGCCGCGUGGAUGCCCGCGGUUUCGCGAUUGCUAGGUGCUUUCAAAAAUCAAAAACAGGUGACCAGAAGUUUUGGUAGUGCUGUACAAACAGUAACUUUAAUCCCAGGAGAUGGCAUAGGACCUGAAAUUUCUGCUGCUGUCAUGAAGAUCUUUGAUGCUGCCAAAGCUCCUAUUCAAUGGGAAGAGAGGAAUGUUACAGCUAUCCAAGGACCAGGAGGAAAGUGGAUGAUACCUCCGGAUGCCAAAGAAUCUAUGGAUAAAAACAAAAUGGGAUUAAAAGGCCCUUUAAAAACCCCAAUUGCUGCAGGACACCCAUCAAUGAAUCUGCUUCUGCGUAAAACCUUUGACCUUUAUGCAAACGUACGUCCCUGUGUCUCAAUUGAAGGAUACAAAACCCCUUACACAGAUGUAAACAUUGUCACGAUAAGAGAGAACACAGAAGGCGAAUACAGUGGAAUUGAACAUGUGAUUGUUGAAGGAGUCGUGCAAAGUAUCAAGCUAAUCACAGAGGGAGCUAGCAAGCGUAUUGCAGAGUUUGCUUUUGAGUAUGCCAGAAACAAUCAGAGAAGCCACGUUACUGCUGUACACAAGGCAAAUAUUAUGAGAAUGUCUGAUGGGCUUUUCUUGAGAAAAUGCAGGGAGGCAGCAGAAAACUGUAAAGAUAUUAAAUUUAAUGAAAUGUAUCUAGAUACUGUGUGUCUGAAUAUGGUUCAGGAUCCGUCACAAUUUGAUGUGCUUGUUAUGCCAAACUUGUACGGUGACAUCCUCAGUGACUUGUGUGCUGGUUUGAUUGGGGGUCUUGGAGUAACGCCAAGUGGGAACAUUGGUGCUAAUGGAGUUGCAAUUUUUGAAUCGGUUCAUGGAACAGCACCAGAUAUUGCAGGAAAAGACUUGGCAAAUCCAACUGCCCUUCUUCUGAGUGCUGUAAUGAUGUUGCGUCAUAUGGGACUACACGAGCAUGCCACAAAAAUCGAGACAGCUUGCUUUGAUACAAUUAAAGAUGGAAAGCUACCUUGCUGUGUGUAGGAGCCAGUUAAAAAUCAAACAAACAAAAAACUAAAGUUACAAGUGAAUAAAGAGGUGCUCCCGUAAAGUUCCCAUUUACUGCUCUGGAAAUGAAAUUCUCCAUCUGCAGGUCUUGACAAAAGACUUGGGAGGUAAUGCAAAGUGCUCAGAAUUCACAGAGGAGAUCUGCCGCAGAGUACAGGACACAGAUUAAACAUCUCAUACGGCUUGUAAUAACUCUGAAAGGAUGCAUCACAGAAGUACAUUAUGUAACCUGGUAUCUAUAUGCAUAUAACUUUGUUUGUCUCUUGAGAGCAAACUUUUUAGGAAGGGUCUCUUCAUUAAUAAACUUAGUCCAAAUGGCUACAGAUAAUACUUGUGCCUGCUUUCAUUUGUUUCUAGCUGGUGAACAUUGUUAUGUAAGUGAACUGUUUUAUUUUCUUGUAACUGUCUACCAUUUCAACUAGCUGGUUUUCACUUUCCACAAAGAAAAUUUAUGUGAAUAUAACGUUAACAGAAUUAGUGAAUUCUAAUGGCACCUUAAUGCUUAAAGCCUACUUUUAUUGGUCUUACUGAAACUCAAAAGGCAGGUUUUCAGCCUAACAAUAGCACAAUAUAACCUCCAUAAGAAGAAAUGGGUAUGAAAUAACAGCAAUUUUGCAUUAGAAGCAAUGAAAAAACACUUCCAGAUGCUCUGAUUCAUGAAAUACAGCUUUGUCUUUGAAAGGCAUGAAUAAGGAAGUGCAAAAAUCUAAACAUUUAGUCUAUGUACAUAAAGAAACAACGAACCAGCUAGGUGUGAGAAUAUUAACAAAGUUAUUUUUCACAUCUGUACCGAAGUUGUUCUUAAACAUUUUCCUCUCAAGCACAGCUUAAUUUACAACAGAGUUCUAAAGAGAGAAAAUUAUAAGAACUUACUUUUGUCAUAUAUUGUGAAGGAAAAGUAUUAACUCUGCCAAUUAAUACUGAAUGUUUUAUGGCUUCUGCUGUAUUGCUUUUUGUGUUGUACUUUGUCUUUAUGCAAUCUGUUCAGUGUAUCUCAUUGCACUGACUAGUAAUUUUAGUCUAACUCUGACUGUAAGGGACUGGUCCUAAAGGGAUUAAGAUAGAGUUGAAGGCUUGGCUCUGGUGCCUACAUUUCAGAAAUACAUUUCAUCCCUAUGCGAGGGAAUCUCAAAUUCUUUUUUCUUCCUGCUUACCAAGCCCAGCGAGCACAAAAGCACCUCUUUUCCUUCCCUCCUUCAUCACAUACAGGUCAUCAUGAGCCACCCUGACCUGGAUGUCUUAAGGUAUGCUUUCCAUUAGCAUAUCCUACAAGAAAAUGCACAUUUUUAGAACUCAUGGCUAUAGCAUGGGAUUAUACCUAGCAACAGAACCAGACUUCUUAAAGCUUUAUUCCGUUAGUAGGUAUUACUCCUCUUAGUUACUUUUCAUUGAGACUUUAGGCUGGUUGUUUCAGAAUUCCAACUUUGUUGGGUAAUGUCUUCUAGCAUUGCUCUAUGUAGUAAGUAUCUCAGCUGUUUUAUACAGCUUAAUGUGGAAGAGGGACAAUGAGCUUUAUUUCUUAUACACUCUGCUUUUGGUGAAUAAGAUGACAAUUCCUUCUAUGUUUUGCAAGCUGCUGGCUGUGUUGUUUCCUUUAAUCUUGUUUAAGAACUCCUGAAGUACAAUUACGCACAAAAUAGGGAAAAAUAAAGUUUUCCAAGUCCAA